UGCAUGACUUUUUACUGACUCAUUUGUCAAAACACUCUGACAUUAUCUAUGUAUGAUCAUUUUAGAGAUUGAGGAAAAUAAACUCAAGAACUGGUGACUUGCCCAGGUCACACUACUGGUGGGUAGCAAAACAGCAGCUAGAAUCUAUAGCUUCUGGCUUUCCAGCCAGUCCUUGUUCCACUACAUUCAUUACUUCUUUGCUGGACUGAAAAGCUUAGGACUUUUCCUGUAAGUAAUACGGAGCCAUUGAAGAUCUGAAGUUUCAAGGAAGUGGUAGGAUGGAUUCUCUUUUACUAUAAGAUGAGGAUGAGGAAGCGGAGGAUCAGAGCUUACGUGAUUGGCUCAGUAUCACACAGUACCACACAAUAAACGAUGAGGAGAUUCUGGCUCACAGAGGUGAAGUGAUCUGCUCAAGAUGAAAUAGCCAGCUGGUGAAAUUACUGAGACAAGCACUCAGAGGAAGGAAAUAUGGUUAUACUUUCCUUGCUAAGGAAAUCCAACCCUCCACAAGGCAGCUUUCUUCCCAUCCCCUUGACCUUUUAGGAAAAAGCCCUGUGCCCAUCCUGCUGUGAUUCAGGAGUCUCGCAGAAGACAUCAGAAUGCCUUUCUCUGAGUCACAGUCUGUAUCUUCUAGAAAAGGCUGUCCAUCUUCACCCCAAGCCCACUGGCUCCUGAGAUACGACAUCCAGACCCAGUGCAGCUGGACCUGGCCCAGGAAGAUCAUGCGGUUUCUGGGAAGCACUGGAGAAGGAAAAGGCUGAAGAAAGGAAGACCGGAAAAGAAAUACAAGUCCUUCCGCCUUGGCAAAGAUGAUAGUACCGUUCCCUUCAGUGUUCCGGUUCUGCUCUAUUGGAUAAGUUCCGGUUUGACUAUGACUACGUGAAAAUGUGGAACCAGACCUUCACCCCACAUUCCAGCUCCAGCUCUACCACAGAGGAAGUGCAAUAUCACCUUAGUUAUUCAACACAUUAUGCUCCUCGUGAUACAACCAGAGUUCACAUCAGCAAUCUUGGCAGCUCUCACCACGCUGCUGACUCACGACUCUCUCAUGUCCCAAUUUCCUGUCCAUUGUUCUUUCCUCUACUUGGCCUGAUUUCUAAAGGCCUCUCUUGGUUGCAUUAAGCGGGAUUCCUGAGGGAUUCCCUUGGCAGUUACCUUGGGGGAGCUCUUAGGUUUGGGGCUGAUCCAUGUCCUCUAAAUGUAGGACUUCAAAGCUCCCAAAGAUAGGCAGGCCCAGUGGGAAGCUGGGAAAUGCUCUCUGACCCCUCUGGGAGGGCUGGCAGUCAGAGGGCCUUUUGGAAAGAGUCAGACCUGAUCCAUAAGUCCCUGGAAAACACCCUGCCCAGGGAGCAAAUGCCACUGUGGCCUUGACUGAGGCUUCAGAAGAGUUUGGGAGCUGCAAUUCAUCCACACACGCAUUCAUUUUCAAGUAGUGGUUUGCAGUUCAGGCUUUGGAGCCACAUAAGCCUGGCUUCAAAGCCACUUUCCAGCUUUGUAGGAAGUCUCUACAUUUUUAAACCUCCAUUUUUUUUUCCUGUAAAACUGGGGUCUUCAUGGUACUUAACUUCAUCGUGAUGUUGAGAGAAUGAAAAGAAAAAGGAUAAAUAAAUGGCUUAGCCUCG
rnacentral:lncRNA from 1 species